UAGAUAGAAGCCUGUUGGCUUAGGCAACUAGCUGUUAACUAGGGUGUUGUGGGAUCGAAGCCCACCUGUCUAG
rnacentral:tRNA from 1 species